AGAGUUUGAUCCUGGCUCAGGACGAACGCUGGCGGCGUGCUUAACACAUGCAAGUGGAGCGACGAACCGGGGCUUGCCCCGGGGCAGAGCCGCGAACGGGUGAGUAACACGUGGGUCACCUGCCUCGAUGACCGGGACAACCCGAGGAAACUCGGGCUAAUACCGGAUGUGCUCUUCGGAGGAAAGGUAGCUUCGGCUUCCGCAUCGAGAUGGGCCCGCGGCGCAUUAGCUUGUUGGUGGGGUAACGGCCUACCAAGGCUACGAUGCGUAGCUGGUCUGAGAGGACGAUCAGCCACACUGGGACUGAGACACGGCCCAGACUCCUACGGGAGGCAGCAGUGGGGAAUCUUGCGCAAUGCGCGAAAGCGUGACGCAGCAACGCCGCGUGGGGGAAGAAGGCCUUCGGGUUGUAAACCUCUUUCAGUUGGGACGAGGCUUCGGCGGUGAACAGCCGCUCGGAGUGACGGUACCUUCACAAGAAGCCCCGGCUAACUACGUGCCAGCAGCCGCGGUAAUACGUAGGGGGCAAGCGUUGUCCGGAAUCAUUGGGCGUAAAGCGCGUGUAGGCGGCUCGGUAAGUCUGCUCUGAAAGUCCAAGGCUCAACCUUGGGAUGCGGGUGGAUACUGCCGAGCUCGAGUCCGGAAGAGGCGAGUGGAAUUCCUGGUGUAGCGGUGAAAUGCGCAGAUAUCAGGAGGAACACCAAUGGCGAAGGCAGCUCGCUGGGACGUGACUGACGCUGAGACGCGAAAGCGUGGGGAGCAAACAGGAUUAGAUACCCUGGUAGUCCACGCCGUAAACGAUGGGCACUAGGUGUAGGGGGUGUCGACUCCCCCUGUGCCGAAGCUAACGCAUUAAGUGCCCCGCCUGGGGAGUACGGCCGCAAGGCUAAAACUCAAAGGAAUUGACGG
rnacentral:rRNA from 1 species